rnacentral:rRNA from 1 species
AUUGAACGCUGGCGGCGUGCUUAACACAUGCAAGUCGAACGAAGUGGCGAACGGGUGCGUAACGCGUAAUCAACCUGCCCUUCAGAGGGGGACAACAGUUGGAAACGACUGCUAAUACCGCAUCCUGUGGGAGGGGAUUGCGUCUGAUUAGCUAGUGGGUGGGGUAACGGCCCACCAAGGCGACGUUAACUAGCCGGUCUGAGAGGAUGAACGGCCACAUUGGGACUGAGACACGGCCCAGACUCCUACGGGAGGCAGCAGUAGGGAAUCUUCCGCAAUGGACGGAAGUCUGACGGAGCAACGCCGCGUGAGUGAUGAAGGCCUUCGGGUUGUAAAGCUCUGUUAAUAGGGACGCGGUACCGAAAUAGAAAGCCACGGCUAACUACGUGCCAGCAGCCGCGGUAAUAC